rnacentral:lncRNA from 1 species
CCCACCCCUAAGACCCCCCCAGCCCUAAAAAAAAACCUUUUGGGGUCCCGCAGACGGCUCCUUCCUGGCCAUCGGCUCCCACGACAACGUCAUCUACAUCUACAGCGUGGCCGAGGGCGGCCGCAAGUACACCCGCUUCGGGCGCUGCACGGGGCACUCGAGCUUCAUCACCCACCUGGACUGGUCCAAGGACGGCCACUUCGUCAUGUCCAACUCGGGGGACUACGAGAUCCUCUACUGGGACGUGGCCGGGGGCUGCAAACUGCUCCGGAACCGCUUCGAGAGCCGGGACCGCGAGUGGGCCUCCUACACCUGCGUGCUGGGCUUCCACGUCUUCGGUGGGGGGGGCAGGGGGUUUUGGGUUUUUUU